UCGAGCGUCAUUUCAACCCUCAAGCCCAGCUUGGUAUUGGGUGUCACCUAGUAAUGGUGCACCUUAAAAUCAGUGGCGGUGCAUCUGGCUUCAAGCGUAGUAAUACUUCUCGCUCUGGUGGCCCAGGUGUCUGCCUGCCAAAACCCCCAUAAUUUCUCAUGGUUGACCUCGGAUCAGGUAGGGAUACCCGCUGAACUUAA
rnacentral:misc_RNA from 1 species